rnacentral:rRNA from 1 species
AGGACGAACGCUGGCGGCGUGCCUAACACAUGCAAGUCGAGCGGGGACAUUGCGACGGAGACGAAGUACUCGUACGGAGUCAAAGAUGUAAUGUCUAGCGGCGGACGGGUGAGUAACGCGUGAGCAACCUGUCCCUUACAGGGGGAUAACACAGCGAAAGUUGUACUAAUACCGCAUGAGACCACAGUAUCACAUGGUGCAGGGGUCAAAGGAGCAAUCCGGUAAGGGGUGGGCUCGCGUCCGAUUAGAUAGUUGGUGAGGUAACGGCCCACCAAGUCGACGAUCGGUAGCCGACCUGAGAGGGUGAUCGGCCACAUUGGGACUGAGACACGGCCCAAACUCCUACGGGAGGCAGCAGUGGGGAAUAUUGGGCAAUGGGGGGAAACCCUGACCCAGCAACGCCGCGUGAGGGAAGAAGGUUUUCGGAUCGUAAACCUCUGUCCCAGGUGAAGAGGAAGAGACGGUAGCCUGGGAGGAAGCCCCGGCUAACUACGUGCCAGCCGCUGC